GACAGAGGCCCCAAGCGUUAGGCGGAAUCACUGGGCCUAAAGCGUGUGUAGGCGGACGCCUAAGUGUCUUGUGAAAUCCCACGGCUCACCCGUGGAACUGCUGGGCAUACUGGGCGUCUUGGGCCAACUAGGGGCAGCCGGAACAAGCGGUGGAGCGGUGAAAUGCGUAGAUAUCGCUUGGAACGCCGAAGGUGAAAACAGGCUGCUGGGGUUGCGCCGACGCUGAGACACGAAAGCCAGGGGAGCAAACGGG
rnacentral:rRNA from 1 species